AGCGAACGCUGGCGGCAGGCUUAACACAUGCAAGUCGAGCGGAUGUAGCAAUACAUCAGCGGCAGACGGGUGAGUAACACGUGGGAACGUACCUUUUGGUUCGGAACAACACAGGGAAACUUGUGCUAAUACCGGAUAAGCCCUUACGGGGAAAGAUUUAUCGCCGAAAGAUCGGCCCGCGUCUGAUUAGCUAGUUGGUGAGGUAACGGCUCACCAAGGCGACGAUCAGUAGCUGGUCUGAGAGGAUGAUCAGCCACAUUGGGACUGAGACACGGCCCAAACUCCUACGGGAGGCAGCAGUGGGGAAUAUUGGACAAUGGGCGCAAGCCUGAUCCAGCCAUGCCGCGUGAGUGAUGAAGGCCCUAGGGUUGUAAAGCUCUUUUACCCGGGAAGAUAAUGACUGUACCGGGAGAAUAAGCCCCGGCUAACUUCGUGCCAGCAGCCGCGGU
rnacentral:rRNA from 1 species